UCUAUCCCCAUCCCGGCCGGCAUGUGGACAAGAGGAAGCCCAGCGUCGACCACCAUCUCGCCCGGCGGCCGCAGCGACCACUAUUCAGCAAUCUCGUCCCCAUCCCCAUGUGGCCAUGUGAAACAAGAAGAUAGAGCUACAGGUGCAAGGGGAUGGGGUCAUAACCGGCGGUGACCCGGAUGUGGCCACUAUAUUUUUUACUAAGUACAGUGCUUGUGUACGAGUAAUUUGAGGAGUAUCAAGCUGGAUGCUUGCUGCCUUUUCCUGAAGCUCAGGUGCACCAAAAAUAUUCAGUGUUUGUCUUUUUUACUUAGUGAUGAAAUUAGUAUACAUGUUAGAUAGGUGAAGUGGUACAUUUGCUUGCGUAUGAGUAAUUUGAGGAGUAGUAUCAAGCUGGAUGCUCUAUUCUGAAUUUCAGUAGUAUAUGAGUUUCAAAGAAAUCCCUGCGCAUAAGCAGACUACAUUGCUGCUUACGGAGGUGACCUGAGUGCUGCGAGUAGACUACUUGUGGAUUGCUAAUUAGAUAGACUUUGUACACAUGUGAGCAGAUUUCAGUUUUGACUCAUGUAGAACAAGGUAUAAUCUUCUUGAGAGUUCGUUCUAAAAAACAAAACAAAAAAUAGCUAUGCAAUUCCAAAGUUUGUCAUCAAAACAUUAUUUGGUAUUCAAACCUCAGAGGCAUAGGGCCAAUUCGGUGAACAACCAAACAUGCGAGAUUCUGAAAGCUUGGUGUAGAAAACUAGAAAAAACUGUUCUGCAACUGUUUUUUGUGCCAUUAAGCAUACUGCUUAGAGAUUCAAUUGGUUGAUUUAUGUGUAUUCAGAUGCUUUGUGUAAUUUUACCUGUUAUAUCUGACAACUGUUUAUUGUGGUUUUGAUUUUGUUGCAGUGUUCUCAAGUAUAACAACAUAGUGGGAUCAUUUGUCAACAUAGUGGGAUCAUUUUGCAGAUUCUAGCAAACAACAUAGUGGGAUCAUUUGUCAAGGCCAACAUCAGAGUGCUAAUUUACAGGUAUAAAUAGAUAAAAGUUUCAAAGAGUAGCUCUUUUCUUACCAGCAUCAUGAAGAUUGGGAAUAUUUUGUAGAAAACAAAAAGACGAGGAAACUGAAUCUAAGGACCAGGGCUAAACCUCUGUACUUUACUGUCUUUAACAUGGUAUAAAAUACCUGAACUGAAUUUGUUAAUAGAGCAGUGAAGUGUUCAUGAUCAAACAAUACAAAAAAGAUUCACCCUGCAAUUUUGUGUUUAACAGAAACCAACACUCAAUACUCAGGAGAACACCUACAAGUAUCCAUGAUUACUAAGACCAGUUACAUAUCAGAACUUGCAAACAUUUUAUUACUUGUUGCAUUGGAGGUUCAUCUUGUCUUGAGGCAAACAAAUCAGCAUUGGAGGCUCAUCUUUAUUACAUAUCAGAACUUGCAAACAAAUCUGUGAAAAAGAAAUAACAAGCUUGUCUUGAGGCUCAUCUUUGAUAUAGGUUAUCUGUGUCGGUUGUCGGAGCAUUGGAGGUUACUGCUGAGAGCUGUCACAGCAGUGCGUGGCGCCAGUGAUGGCCAAGCUGCUAGUUCAACUACUGGCCAACUAGUGGCCCUUGUUAUCAAAGUAGUCUUGCCACAUGUUCAUAGUAAUCUCCAACCAUAUUAGCAGUACUGAAUAAAACCUGUCUUGUUUUAUGGGAAUGGUUGAUUACCUUGAUUAUACUUACUGGAUGGUUUAUUUAUAGUUCUUAAAAUAUGAAAAUGAAAAUUAUUUGUAUCCCUCGUUAAAGGUAUUUCUAGCAAAACCUGAAAUGCUAGAUGGAUUGAUUUUUCUGAGCUGUUUGUGCUCCCUGCAUCUUUCAGCUCUCAUUUUCAGUGGAGUUGUUGAAUUAUAUGCUCUUAUUGG
rnacentral:lncRNA from 1 species